AGAGCAGCUGGGUGAAGAAAUGCAGAAUGAGAAACUGCUUCAGCUGAAGAUCCAGAAACAUCACAGCUGUGAGAGCAGCUGGAGGAAGUAAUGCAGAAUGGGAAACUACUUCAGCCGGGCUAAAGAUCCAGAAACAUCACAGCGUGUGAGAGCAGCUGGGUGAAGAAAUGCAGAAUGGGAAAAUGGUUUAGCCGGCCUGUGGAUCCAGAAACAUCACAG